CUUCUUCUAUGGUGGUUUUCAUAUAUUUCUCCAUAAACGGAUAUAUAUGGAUGAAAAGAUCGCAGUUUUUUGUCUUUCCAUCCAUAUAUAUCCAUUUGUGGAGAAAUAUAUAAAAACCACCAUAGAAGAAG